rnacentral:lncRNA from 1 species
CUGAAUAAGUUACCAAAACCUCUUGUUGGAUCAAAUAUAUUGUACAAGAAGUAAAAAUCUUCAGUUUGCAUGAUUUCCCAUAAAUAAACAAUAUGCCAUGAAUAUAUGAAAUGCAUCAUGUCUAUCAAUAUAGAAUUCAAGAUAUGUAAUUUAUCUAGACAAAAUAAAUUUCCAAAACAAAUAUAGAUGGAUUAUCCUCUCUCACUCUCGCUCCUAGUCUUCAUGACUGUGGCUACAAUUGGCCCAUGGCAAGCCUUGAAAGGGAUUAGAUCCUAAUGACAAUGUGCCGUCCAUCGGUCAUGUGCCAGUGAUCACCUCACUGGCUGCUGGUGGCUUGGAAGGAAACUAGCUCUGAAAUCAUAUGAAAAAAUAUGCUUCCAUCAGUAUGUGCUAGCAAUCAGCCUUGACUAGCUAGACCUAAAAGAAAACUUGCUCCUGAUUAUAACAUACUAUCAGCCGGCAUGCGCUAGUAAUUGCCCCUAGUAUAGGCCUAGAAGGUGACUACAUCUUGUUCUCGUAUGAUCAUAGUUGGACCAUAGAGUAGCAAAAUUAACACAUAACAUAUACAAUAUCAAUAUAUUUAUUGAUACAAUAAAAUAUAAUUCAUGCCCAAGUAAAUUAUAUCAUACUUGAUCCAAUAUUUUACAAAUCAUUUUCAUGCAGCAAGCAUAUGAUACUUAAUUCAAACAUAACAUAAUAACAAUAGAUUAAAUUCCAAAUAUUACAGAUCAUGUCAUAUGCAUGGUAAAGCACUAGUUGUGGAGGUAACUUACAAAUUUACUCUAAAAUCUCUCGAGAUUCACCGGUCAAGAAGAUCGUCCAAAAUCUAAAAUAAUUAAAUGCCUUAUUAAAUUUCUAUAGGAUAUUAUAUAAUUUGUAAUGUCUCAAUUGAGUUGUAAUACCUUCUUAGGCUCUACAAUUUAGGAUUUUACAAAAACAUUGGUGGUGAUUUUAGAUGCACGAAUAGGUGAUUGCCCCAACGGUAAGAUCUGAUCUAUGUCCACACCAUGAAGUCUAGCCUAAUGUUCAGGGGUCUCGAUCAACCCUUAGAUCUAAUGAUUAAUUACUAUCGAAUACUGACACAAUAACUAUACAAUGAGAGGGAGCUUGCAGUUAUCUAAAUGUGAAAGAAUCGGUCCUAUCACACCUUCUAGCUAUCCAGAUCCUAAUUUCCAUCUGAUUAGAUUAAGAUUCUUGAAUUAAAUCUAAUUUUACAAUUAAAAGAAAAUUAAGCUAAAUAGAGAGGAUUAGGCUUGAUCUAGGCUGACCAUCAAGGGGAAAACAAGAGAUUAGGGAAGACUCAUAUCUAGUAUGCAGGUCACCUAGAAGGGCAUGGGAGGAGAGAGAAAAUAUGUGUGAAUAGGAAAAGAAAAGAAAAAGAAAAAGAUGAUGAAAAAAAAAGAAGAAAAGUAGGAGGAUGAGGGAGGGAUGUGAACGAGAAAACUCAUGUUAAAAUAGUGAAAAAUGGCCUAGUGGUGCUCAAAAGUUGGGCCAUGGGAGAUGAUGGGUCAGUGGUUGGCGAAAAAGGGCAAACCAAGGGCAAAAGAGGACACCUGGGUCCAUGGUGGCUUGGAUCCAGGUCUAAUCGUGGAAGACCCUUAGAGGGUGAGAUGAGGUAGAGGGAGGCUUAGCAGCAUGGAGAUGAUAAGCCCAUCUUCAACGCUAGGAAUCUUAGCAACAUGAAAUCUUUCUACUAUAGGUCCAAUAUUUUUUUUAAAAAAAAUUAACUCCCGACGCUUUAAAGCGUCAUUAAAAAACCCUAUGCCGAUGCUUUAAAAGCAUUGGAAAAUCACCGAUUUUAUCGACGCUAAAAACUUUUUCCACUCAUAUAUCACCGACACUUCGACGACGCUUUGGGUAGCGUCGGACGGAUAUUUACCGACGCUUUAAUGGGAAAUCACCCAUUUUGCUGACACUUUUGGAAAGCAUCGAAAAAAACUUUUCCAACUCAUGAAUCGCCGACGCUUUGGCUACGCUUUGGGUAGCGUUGGGCGAAUAUUUACCGAUGCUUAUAAGCGUCGGUAAAGGAUAAAAAAAUGCCAGAAAAGAACACUUUUCCUGUAGUUGAGGAUGACUUGAUCAAUCGGGCAAGAAGGAAUUAAAUGAAGAGAGUUUUCGAGAGGAUGAGCAAGGCAGUUUUGCUUCUUGCUUGCGAAUCCAUUAGCAAUUGGGAGCGACUCAAAUGGCCGGGCAGCUACUCCAUAUCGGUCUCUUCGAAUCUAGCCAUGGUUGCUGUGGCCUUAUCCACUUAGAGGAGGCACAGGGCAAAGGAGAGCUGUAACAACCCAGGACAACACCCAAAAUGGCUAGCCGGAAGGUAUUAUUUGGGUUUCUUGAUCCUAUAUACGUACCAAAGAUUUACCCAGUGAAUAACCAAUAUGGGACUAAAUAAAUGUCUGCACAUGUUCUCAUAUACUCCUUCCGUUUAAGCCCUGACAUCUUCGUCAUGUUAAAUGUUCAAAUCUUAUCACAAACACCACGAUCGACUUGUGAUCAACCCCAAUGGAUCCGUGUUGUAGGUCCCCUAGUCUAUAUAGGUUAUGGGCUAGGGUCCGCUCUGAUACCAUUUGUGACAAUUCAGGACCUUAUCCAAAAUGGCUAGCUGAAAGGUAUAUUUUUGGGUUCCUUAGUCCUGUAUAAGCACUCAAGAUCUCCUCGGCGAAUAACAAAUGUGGGACUAAAUACAUGCCCGCACGGGUCCUCACAUACUUUUCUUGUUCAAGCCUUGAUGUUCUUGUCAAGCUAAAGGUUCAAAUAUAAUCACAAGUACCAAAAUUGGCCCGUGGUCAACCCCAAUGGAUAUGUAUUGCAGGUCCCCUAGUCCACAUAGGUUAUGCACUAGGUCCGCUCUGAUACCAUUUGUCAUAACUCAGGAUCUCACCCAAAAUAGCUAGCCGGAAGGUAUUAUUUGGAUUUCUUGAUCCUGUAUAAAUACCCAAGAUUUACCCAACGAAUAACUGAUGUAGGACUAAAUACACUCCCGCACAGGCCCUCACAUACUCCCUUCAUUUGUCACAACUCAGGACCUCACCCAAAAUGGCUACCCGAAAGAUAUUAUUUGGGUUUCUUGAUCCUAUAUAAGUAUCCAAGAUCUACCCAAUGAAUAAUUGAUGUGGGACUAAAUACACGUCCACACGGAUCCUUACAUACUCUUCUUGUCACGCCCCCGCCUUGUGUGGGGCACGUGAGGCACCCAGUGCCCACGUGGGGGCCACAUGAGGAGGGACCGCGGGGCUUCCCUGCUNNNNNNNNNNNNNNNNNNNNNNNNNNNNNNNNNNNNNNNNNNNNNNNNNNNNNNNNNNNNNNNNNNNNNNNNNNNNNNNNNNNNNNNNNNNNNNNNNNNNNNNNNNNNNNNNNNNNNNNNNNNNNNNNNNNNNCCCCCGCCUACGCGGAGCACAUGAGGCAACCCAGUGCCCACGUGCGGGCCACAUGAGGGGGAACACAGGGCUCCCCUGCCAGAUAUUGUCCAGUUCCGGGGUUUCACGCAAGCGUCCUUCAUCCCUCCCCGGUUUUAUUUUUCACCCAAAAUGCGUCUGCAAGAUUUGGAGACACCCACCUCAUAUGCCCAAGCUCUGGAACGAGUCUUUCUGAUGUGGGACUAUUGGGUCUCACACUUCUUAUUUAAGCCCUGACGUCCUCGUCAGGCUAAAGGUUCCAAUCUAAUCAUAAGCACCAUGAUCGGCCCAUGGUCAGCCCUAAUGGAUCGUGCUACCGGUCUUCUAAUCCAUAUAGGUUAUAGACUGGGUCUGCUCUGAUACUAUUUGUCACAACUCAAGACCUCACCCGAAAUGGCUAACGAGAAGGUAUUAUUCAGGUUCUCUGAUCCCGUAUAAGUACCCAAGAUCUAUUCAGCGAAUAACCGAUGUGGGAUUAAACACACGCCCGUACGGGUUCUCACAAUAGCAAUCGCAAUUUCUCUAUUUCGAGCUUUUUUUUUGUUCUUUUUUCUUUUUAAAUAGAAGUCGUCUAUUCUUGCCGACUCUAAGUGAGAGAGAUUAUGGUUGCAAGGGUGAAGAGUGAAGAGAGGGAAAAGUUAUUUGUACGUGUUCUAGUGCAUCGCAUACAUGUCUCUUAGUACAAAAAAAAAGUGCAGGGGUCAAAAUUUCAAACUCCUCCAAAGAGCAAAGGAAGUUAAAGGAACCAAGUGAUCAAAAUUUAGAAACACAAUAACUAUAGCCCCAUUUGGGGGAGCUUUUAGAGGGCUAAAAGACAUUUUCUGGCCCUCCAAAAGUACUUUUAUCCCUCCAAAAGUACUUUUAUAUGAAAUAUGUGUGUUUAGUAAAAAUUUUGGAAAGCCGUUUCAGCUUUUUCAGAAAGUUAAAAAUAACUUUUGGGUAAAGCUCCAUUUUAGAGCUUUCUGAAAAAGUAUUUUUAGGCCCGAUCAGAAAGUAGUUUUUUUAACCAAAAUAUCCGUGAUAAAAUAUAAUAAUUACACAAAAUGUCUCUUUAAUAAUUGUUUAACCAAUUUUAUCACCUAAUUAGAAAAUUUCUUAUAUUAUGAAAAAUUAAUUUACGCUAAUAAUUGUAAUAUUUUAUUUCUUUAUUAUUGUAUUAUAUUAUAAAUAUAAUAUUAUAUUACAUUAUAUCAUAACACAUUGAUAUGUUAUGUUAAAUAAUUUAAUAUUAUAUUAAAUUAUUAUGCUAUAGUAUACAAUAUUAUAUUACUAUAUUAUAAUAAUAUUAUAUUACAAUACAGUAAUAUUAUAUUAUAUCAUAUAUUUAUGUAUUAAUAAAUAUUAUAUUUUAUUAUGCUCUGUUGUAUAAUACUAUGCAAUGUUUUUUAUGGUCAUUUUGUCAUACCAAAAGUACUUUUUCAAUUUGUAUACCAAAAACAUAUUAAAGUGGCACAUCACUUUAGAGAUGUAGUUACCAAACAGCAAACAACUUUUUAUAAAAGUUCUAUUUCAGAAAGCUUUACUUCCGAAAAUUCUAUUGCCAACAGCUUUCCCAAUUAGGGUCUAGGUCUAAUGUAUAAACAGGGCAAUUCGUUAUUUUAAAAAUAAAGAUAUUAUUUUGAAAAUAAAACUUUAAUAAUUUUAAUGCGCGGUCCCCUCGUGAACUCAUAUGGAAGAAAAGGGUCUAUUGCUCGGCUCCUCAAUUUGUGGUGUCCUCCUCUGCCAUGCUGUAUACGUGUAUGGUGGAGAGGGACCGGGAAUGGACUGGGUGCUACAAAAUAGAAAGAUAGAUAGGGACUUUUUGUUAAUGUGUGGUCCACUAGGGGACCAGUCCAUAAUUUAGGCUUCACUGAGGCAAAUUUGGCAUCAUAUAGAGUAGACGGGUAAAGGAAGGUUUGGGCUGGAAUUGGUGUUGGAGGUCGAAGAGGGUAUUAAGAACACAAGGAAGGAUUCUCUCAUACUAUAUCUAUAGAAAAGCUAUACGACGUGAUUUUGAUUUGACUCUCUUUGACAUGAAAAAGAAUACGAAAAAUAUUACACAAACAUUGCACACUUAGAUCAGAUAGUUGCAACAAAUAAUGAACUAAAAAUUUAAAUAUUGUUGACAACCGCAUGCGGUUUAGAACCUAACAUUAUUUCAUGCAUGUAACCGCUCCAUGGUGGCUUGUAAUUAGUUGAGUUCUGAAAUGUCCUGGCUUUUGAAUUACGGUGAGGUAAAACUCAAGCCAUCUGGAUAAUAUUUUUAUCAAAUGGCACCUCCAGGUUUGGGAAAAUAUAGAAAUAUACAUUUGUUUCUCUUGAGACCUAAUUAACCUUUUCGGAGUAAGCAAAUAAAUUAGUAAGUAGACAUGAUUUUGGACUUUUGAAACAAAUGCCAUUCUAUGGAGAAAUCAUGCCCAACACCGCGUACACCACAUGGCCAUGUACCAUGCAAAUCACUAUAUCUAUUCCCUGCGGGCUCUAUUUAUCAUGCGCUUGUCUUGAUGAUUGGCUUAUAGAAAGAAUAUCUUAAGAAAAAGUAAAAUAUUAGAAAUAAGAUGGUGUAAUCCUAAGAAAACUUUUUCGAUGUUACCGUAGAAGGAACUCGUUUGAUGGAUGUCAAGUGCUCUCCAUGCUUCAAUACCUUGCUUCUUCAAGGAAAACGUGGACAGAAGGUGAAAAGAGGGUAUGGGCUCCUUUCUCAUGGAUGCCAGCUACUCUCUGUCACCAACUAAAAGCAAACAAAGAAUGGAAAAAGAAGUGAAAGGCAUGGUCAGGAAGGGCACAUGGAAGGCUGCUAAAGGGGAAGCAGGGAGCCCCCAUACCGGAGACCAUCCCUCUCCCCUUCUCUCGAGAAAGAUAAGCUCUUAAAAGUGAAGGGAUCUUGGCAAGAGCACAGGUCACCAUGCGUCAUUUAUUCCAUG